CCCGUCGUUAGGCUGUCAUCAAUGUACCGCCGUCACCGUUUAUCGCCGGCGACAAGCUUGCAAUCUCACGUUAAACCACUUCCUCGGGUGAUUACGAACUAGGCGGCUCACAUCUCUACCACAGAGCGAGACGACAGCGCCGACAUCGCACGUAGCUGCAUCAGAUUGUCCGAGCGUGCCAAGCAAGUGCGUGGAAAAGAACCCGUCCUACGUCGGGUGCUCAUUAUAGUAUGCCGCAAUCACUCCGACAAAGGUUAGGCCUGAUGACAGCGAUGACGUAGCCCAGGACGGGGUUGCGCAAAGAGCAAGUUGGAGGCCCCGGCCAGUAGCUGGUAGCCGAGUGCGCGCCGAGAUGAAAUCUAUUGUUAUGCAUGGAUGGUGCGCAGCUACAAAGGAUCGGUGCGUAACGAUUGCCGCGCAGAGGCGCACGGUGUAUUGCGCACGAUGUGCAAUGUUACCUGUGGAUAUUGCACAAGCCACGUGCAGAAUGUGUUCGUAUUUACGUUGUAAGGUGUAAAGGAUUUGCGUCGAGCUUUUAAAUGUCAAAAUAACCCAGUCACAGUUGAACAUAUCGUAGAUAUGUUAAUAUUAUUGUAGUAUUUCAAAUAAUCUGUCAGUAUUAUCGCGCAGUAAUGUUGCUACAUGGGAUAACAUAUGCGAAAUUACCGCGCUCCGAUAACAAAUGCUGUGGGCGAUUACUUGCGCGUGACGUCACAUCUGUCCUGCCAAGCCGCCGUAGCCACGCUCUCGCCACACUUGGAACGUUUCAAUAGU